rnacentral:rRNA from 1 species
GAUGAACGCUAGCUACAGGCUUAACACAUGCAAGUCGAGGGGCAGCAUGGUCUUAGCUUGCUAAGGCCGAUGGCGACCGGCGCACGGGUGAGUAACGCGUAUCCAACCUGCCGUCUACUCUUGGACAGCCUUCUGAAAGGAAGAUUAAUACAAGAUGGCAUCAUGAGUUCACAUGUUCACAUGAUUAAAGGUAUUCCGGUAGACGAUGGGGAUGCGUUCCAUUAGAUAGUAGGCGGGGUAACGGCCCACCUAGUCUUCGAUGGAUAGGGGUUCUGAGAGGAAGGUCCCCCACAUUGGAACUGAGACACGGUCCAAACUCCUACGGGAGGCAGCAGUGAGGAAUAUUGGUCAAUGGGCGAGAGCCUGAACCAGCCAAGUAGCGUGAAGGAUGACUGCCCUAUGGGUUGUAAACUUCUUUUAUAAAGGAAUAAAGUCGGGUAUGUAUACCCGUCUGCAUGUACUUUAUGAAUAAGGAUCGGCUAACUCCGUG